rnacentral:tRNA from 1 species
CUCCUUGUAGUUCAAUGGAUAGAACAAAUCCCUCCUAAGGAUUAGAUGUAGGUUCGACUCCUGCCAAGGAGACAA